CCUACGGGAGGCAGCAGUGGGGAAUAUUGGACAAUGGGGGCAACCCUGAUCCAGCCAUGCCGCGUGUGUGAAGAAGGCCCUCGGGUUGUAAAGCACUUUCAGUGAGGAAGAACGCCUGGUGGUUAAGACCCAUCAGGAAAGACAUCACUCACAGAAGAAGCACCGGCUAACUCCGUGCCAGCAGCCGCGGUAAUACGGAGGGUGCGAGCGUUAAUCGGAAUUACUGGGCGUAAAGCGCGCGUAGGUGGCUUGAUAAGCCGGUUGUGAAAGCCCCGGGCUCAACCUGGGAACGGCAUCCGGAACUGUCAAGCUAGAGUGCAGGAGAGGAAGGUAGAAUUCCCGGUGUAGCGGUGAAAUGCGUAGAGAUCGGGAGGAAUACCAGUGGCGAAGGCGGCCUUCUGGACUGACACUGACACUGAGGUGCGAAAGCGUGGGUAGCAAACAGGAUUAGAUACCCCGGUAGUC
rnacentral:rRNA from 1 species